CUUUUGAUCACAUGGAAGUUGGUCUUUAUUAACACGUGUAGUCAAGAAGAAAGAAAAUCCCUAGUAAGAGCUGUCAUCAAGAAGCUUACGCAUUUAGGGCAAAGUUAUCGCAUUAUUACUCGUAGCUUCAACAAAUUUAACAGAAUUAGAGAAUGUCAGCCCUCUUCAAUUUCCAGAGCUUGCUCACGGUGGUACUAUUAUUGAUAUGUACCUGUGCAUACAUCAGAUCCAUAGUACCUAGUGUACUGGAUAGAAAUAAAGUUGGAUUUCUUGGAACAUUUUGGAAAUGUGCAAGAAUUGGUGAGAGGAAGAGUCCGUACGUGGCCAUUAGCUGUCUAUUUAUGGCGUUCAGCAUAUUAUUUUGGUCAUAGAGUUAUUUAUGUGAUUGGGAAGAAGCGUGAGAAAUGAAUACUCACAAUUGACGCUAAGGAAGACUCUCUUACUGACAGCUGGCGGCACCUCGUUCUUGGCAAUGCAAAGCAUGGAAUUAUAUGCACAGCUGUUCAAAAUAACCGAGCAUAUCCCUUUGUACAUCAGAGCCAUGCACAAUGCUACCAAUAAGAGGAUUAGGUGACGGAAACAAAAAUGUCCCAUCAAGCAAUUAAAAAAUAACCUUACCUCGUUCAAGCUGCUCGUGCAAACCACGUACAAGUAUGAACUUGUUCUUCUCACGACGCCACAAGACGAGCGGUUGCGGUCUUCCGGAUGCUUUACAAGAGAGCGUCGCGUUCUCACCCUCGAGAACGGAAACUUCACCCUCUGAAGUGCCGGAUGUCAAUAUAUCUGGAGCGACUACGAGGGGUAAAAGAUUUUCAAUAAAUCCAUCGAGCUGAAUCGAAGUGUAUUUUCGAAAUGGAGUUUCUAUACAUGUAACGUAUAUGAGAGGAUUAUUAUGAAUUACCUGGAAACGACAAAGGGGUUGCACAGGGAUAAUACCAGGACUCGUGGUGCAUACCACACCCUCGUAAGACAAUACAUGGACAUCAAACCACUUCCCCGCAUCCACGUAGGCAGCAU